GCCUGGGUGGCUCAGUCAGUUAAGCAUCUGACUUCAGCUCAGGUCAUGAUCUCACAGUUCGUGGGUUCAAGCCCUGCGUCGGGCU
rnacentral:tRNA from 1 species